UACGUAGGGUGCAAGCGUUGUCCGGAAUUAUUGGGCGUAAAGAGCUCGUAGGCGGUCUGUCGCGUCUGCUGUGAAAACUCAGGGCUUAACCCUGAGCUUGCAGUGGGUACGGGCAGACUAGAGUGCGGUAGGGGAGACUGGAAUUCCUGGUGUAGCGGUGAAAUGCGCAGAUAUCAGGAGGAACACCUAUUGCGAAGGCAGCUCGCUGGGACGUAACUGACGCUGGAGAACGCGAAAGCGUGGGGAGCAAACAGG
rnacentral:rRNA from 1 species